rnacentral:rRNA from 1 species
GAUCAACGCUGACAGAAUGCUUAACACAUGCAAGUCGAUGGGGAAGUGGUGCUUGCACCAUGGUAACCAUGGCGGACGGGUGAGUAACACGUAAGGAACUUACCUGCGGGACCGGGAUAACAGCAGGAAACUGCUGACAAGACCGGAUAAGGUCAUUAAGCUGCAUAGCUUAGUGAUGAAAGGAGACGCCUGCGGAGAGCCUUGCGUCCUAUUAGCUAGUUGGAGGGGUAACGGCCCACCAAGGCGAAGAUAGGUAGCCGGCCUGAGAGGGUGGACGGCCACAAGGGGACUGAGAUACGGCCCUUACUCCUACGGGAGGCAGCAGUGGGGAAUAUUGGACAAUGGGGGCAACCCUGAUCCAGCAAUUCUGUGUGCACGAAGACGGUUUUCGGAUUGUAAAGUGCUUUCAGCAGGGAAGAAGGAAGUGACGGUACCUGCAGAAGAAGCGACGGCUAAAUACGUG